rnacentral:sRNA from 2 species
GCAGCACCUCGUUAGGCGAGGCUCCUGCGCGAACACAGGCCACUGAUCUGACGACAUCGAGAGAUGCCCAAGAUCAGGACAGGCCGCCUCGGCUUAAGGGGCGGUCCCAAGUGGCUUCCGGUGCCAGUAAAUAUUGCCAGCCCAGAUACGUCGCGCAGCGCCGAAGCUCUACGUGGGGGUGACUC